CUAGCAAGACAUUUUAAAAACUUUGAAAGAAAGCUUGGAAGGGAAAGCCCAAAGAAGACCAUAUCUACCUGCGAUGGGCUUGGACUCUUACAAAUGAUAUAAGAGCCAGACAUCGAAUAGUGGGCGGUGUGAUAAAGAG